GAAACUGUGGGUAAUACCGGAUGAUAUCUGUGUUCUUUAGGAUACAGAUCAAAGGUGAGAUUCCGCCCUUGGAGGGGACUUCGUCCUACUAGCUUGUUGGUGGGGUAACGGCCUACCAAGGCAAUGAUGGGUAGCGGGUGUGAGAGCAUGGCCCGCCUCACUGGGACUGAGACACUGCCCAGACACCUACGGGUGGCUGCAGUCGAGAAUCUUCGGCAAUGGGCGCAAGCCCGACCGAGCGACGCCGCGUGUGGGAUGAAGGCCUUCGGGUUGUAAACCGCUGUCAGUUGGGAGGAAAUUUUAGGGGGUUCUCCCCCUAGAUUGACCUAUCAUCAGAGGAAGACCGGGCUAAGUUCGUGCCAGCAGCCGCGGUAAGACGAACCGGUCGAACGUUAUUCGGAAUCAUUGGGCUUAAAGGGUGCGUANGCGGUGCGGAAAGUUGGGUGUGAAAUCCCUCGGCUCAACCGAGGAACUGCGCCCAAAACUUCCGUGCUAGAGGGAGACAGGGGUGAGCGGAACUGAUGGUGGAGCGGUGAAAUGCGUUGAUAUCAUCAGGAACACCGGUGGC
rnacentral:rRNA from 1 species